rnacentral:rRNA from 1 species
UGGGGAAUAUUGGACAAUGGGGGCAACCCUGAUCCAGCCAUGCCGCGUGAGUGAUGAAGGCCUUCGGGUCGUAAAGCUCUGUGGGGAGCCACGAAACCCCGCCAGCGAAUAACUGGCGGGCUGACGGUAGCUCCUUAGCAAGCACCGGCUAACUCCGUGCCAGCAGCCGCGGUAAUACGGAGGGUGCAAACGUUGCUCGGAAUCAUUGGGCGUAAAGCGCACGUAGGCGGUCCUGUAAGUCGGGUGUGAAAUCCCUCGGCUUAACCAGGGAAGUGCAUUCGAAACUACAGGACUUGAGUACUGGAGAGGGUCGCGGAAUUCUCGGUGUAGAGGUGAAAUUCGUAGAUAUCGGGAGGAACACCAGUGGCGAAGGCGGCGACCUGGUCAGAUACUGACGCUGAGGUGCGAAAGCGUGGGGAGCAAACAGGAUUAGAUACCCCCGUAGUCCCUGAGCGGGCUGGCAAGGCGCAU